rnacentral:rRNA from 1 species
GAGUUUGAUCCUGGCUCAGGAUGAACGCUAGCGGCAGGCUUAACACAUGCAAGUCGAACGGUAACAGAAAAAGCUUGCUUUUUGCUGACGAGUGGCGAACGGGUGCGUAACGCGUAUGCAACCUACCUUCUUCUAAGGAAUAGCCCAGAGAAAUUUGGAUUAAUACCUUAUGACAAUAUUUAUUCGCAUGUUUAAAUAUUUAAAACUCCGGUGGAAGAAGAUGGGCAUGCGUAACAUUAGUUUGUUGGUGAGGUAAUGGCUCACCAAGACUACGAUGUUUAGGGGGUCUGAGAGGAUGAUCCCCCACACUGGUACUGAGACACGGACCAGACUCCUACGGGAGGCAGCAGUGAGGAAUAUUGGUCAAUGGACGAAAGUCUGAACCAGCCAUGCCGCGUGAAGGAUGACGGCCCUACGGGUUGUAAACUUCUUUUGUAUAGGAAGAAACCCCUCUACGUGUAGAGGGUUGACGGUACUAUUCGAAUAAGCACCGGCUAACUCCGUGCCAGCAGCCGCGGUAAUACGGAGGGUGCGAGCGUUAUCCGGAAUUAUUGGGUUUAAAGGGUGCGUAGGCGGAAAUUUAAGUCAGUGGUGAAAGCCUGCAGCUUAACUGUAGAAUUGCCAUUGAUACUGGAUUUCUUGAAUCUAAUAGAAGUAGGCGGAAUAUGACAUGUAGCGGUGAAAUGCUUAGAUAUGUCAUAGAACACCGAUAGCGAAGGCAGCUUACUAUGUUAGUAUUGACGCUAAUGCACGAAAGCGUGGGGAGCGAACAGGAUUAGAUACCCUGGUAGUCCACGCCGUAAACGAUGAUUACUCGCUAUUGGCGAUACACUGUCAGUGGCUAAGCGAAAGUGAUAAGUAAUCCACCUGGGGAGUACGAUCGCAAGGUUGAAACUCAAAGGAAUUGACGGGGGCCCGCACAAGCGGUGGAGCAUGUGGUUUAAUUCGAU